rnacentral:rRNA from 1 species
CCUACGGGAGGCAUCAGUGAGGAAUAUUGGUCAAUGGCCGGAAGGCUGAACCAGCCAUGCCGCGUGAAGGUCAGUGCCCUAUGGGCGUUAAACUUCUUUUGUGCGGGAGCAAUAAUGGUCACUUGUGGCCAGACGAGAGUACCGUACGACUAAGCAUCGGCUAACUCCGUUCCAGCAGCCGCGGUAAUACUGGGGAUGCAAGCGUUAUCCGGAUUUCUUGGGUUUAAAGGGUGCGUAAGCUGGGAGGUAAGUCAGCGGUGAAAUGCCCCCGCGCAACGGGGUGAAGUGCCAUUGAUACUGCCUUGCUGGAAUGCGGAUGACGUGGGAGGAAUGUGUGGUGUAGCGGUGAAAUGCAUAGAUAUCACACAGAACACCGAUUGCGAAGGCAUCUCACGAAUCCGCGAUUGACGCUGAUGCACGAAAGCGUGGGUAUCAAACAGGAUUAGAUACCCCAGUAGUC